AGAGUUUGAUCCUGGCUCAGGACGAACGCUGGCGGCGGGCCUAACACAUGCAAGUCUAAGGAGAAUUUCGGAGCAAUCUGAAAGGACACUGGCGCACGGGUGAGUAACGCGUAGGUAACCUACCUUCUGCUGGGGGAUAACAUCGGGAAACCGGUGCUAAUACCGCAUAAAGCAACAGUCACGCAUGUGGCAGUUGUUAAAGAAUUUCGGCAGAAGAUGGGCCUGCGUGUCAUUAGUUAGUUGGUAAGGUAACGGCUUACCAAGACGAUGAUGACUAGGGGGUCUGAGAGGAUGAUCCCCCACAUUGGAACUGAGACACGGUCCAGACUCCUACGGGAGGCAGCAGUGAGGAAUCUUGCGCAAUGGGGGAAACCCUGACGCAGCCACGCCGCGUGCCAGAUGAAGGCCCUACGGGUCGUAAAUGGCUUUUGGUCGGGAAGAUAAGCCGGGUUUCGACCUGGUGUGACGGUACCGACUGAAUAAGCACCGGCUAACUCCGUGCCAGCAGCCGCGGUAAUACGGAGGGUGCAAGCGUUGUCCGGAAUCAUUGGGUGUAAAGGGUGCGUAGGCGGAUGCCUAAGUCUGGGGUGAAAUCUUGCAGCUUAACUGUAAAAUUGCCUUGGAUACUGGGCGUCUUGAGUACAGAAGAGGAUGGUGGAAUUCGUAGUGUAGCGGUGAAAUGCAUAGAUAUUACGAAGAACACCGGUGGCGAAAGCGGCCAUCUGGUCUGUUACUGACGCUGAGGCACGAAAGCGUGGGGAGCGAACAGGAUUAGAUACCCUGGUAGUCCACGCCGUAAACGAUGUGUGCUAGUUGUUGGCCUGUAUGGGCCAGUGACGUAGUUAACGCGCUAAGCACACCACCUGGGGAGUACGUUCGCAAGAAUGAAACUCAAAGGAAUUGACG
rnacentral:rRNA from 1 species